rnacentral:rRNA from 1 species
AGAGUUUGAUCCUGGCUCAGAUUGAACGCUGGCGGCAGGCCUAACACAUGCAAGUCGAGCGGAUGACGGGAGCUUGCUCCUUGAUUCAGCGGCGGACGGGUGAGUAAUGCCUAGGAAUCUGCCUGGUAGUGGGGGACAACGUUUCGAAAGGAACGCUAAUACCGCAUACGUCCUACGGGAGAAAGCAGGGGACCUUCGGGCCUUGCGCUAUCAGAUGAGCCUAGGUCGGAUUAGCUAGUUGGUGAGGUAAUGGCUCACCAAGGCGACGAUCCGUAACUGGUCUGAGAGGAUGAUCAGUCACACUGGAACUGAGACACGGUCCAGACUCCUACGGGAGGCAGCAGUGGGGAAUAUUGGACAAUGGGCGAAAGCCUGAUCCAGUCAUGCCGCGUGUGUGAAGAAGGUCUUCGGAUUGUAAAGCACUUUAAGUUGGGAGGAAGGGCAGUAAGUUAAUACCUUGCUGUUUUGACGUUACCGACAGAAUAAGCACCGGCUAACUCUGUGCCAGCAGCCGCGGUAAUACAGAGGGUGCAAGCGUUAAUCGGAAUUACUGGGCGUAAAGCGCGCGUAGGUGGUUCGUUAAGUUGGAUGUGAAAGCCCCGGGCUCAACCUGGGGAACUGCAUCCAAAACUGGCGAGCUAGAGUAUGGUAGAGGGUGGUGGAAUUUCCUGUGUAGCGGUGAAAUGCGUAGAUAUAGGAAGGAACACCAGUGGCGAAGGCGACCACCUGGACUGAUACUGACACUGAGGUGCGAAAGCGUGGAGAGCAAACAGGAUUAGAUACCCUGGUAGUCCACGCCGUAAACGAUGUCAACUAGCCGUUGGGAUCCUUGAGAUUUUAGUGGCGCAGCUAACGCAUUAAGUUGACCGCCUGGGGAGUACGGCCGCAAGGUUAAAACUCAAAUGAAUUGACGGGGGCCCGCACAAGCGGUGGAGCAUGUGGUUUAAUUCGAAGCAACGCGAAGAACCUUACCAGGCCUUGACAUGCAGAGAACUUUCCAGAGAUGGAUUGGUGCCUUCGGGAGCUCUGACACAGGUGCUGCAUGGCUGUCGUCAGCUCGUGUCGUGAGAUGUUGGGUUAAGUCCCGUAACGAGCGCAACCCUUGUCCUUAGUUACCAGCACGUUAUGGUGGGCACUCUAAGGAGACUGCCGGUGACAAACCGGAGGAAGGUGGGGAUGACGUCAAGUCAUCAUGGCCCUUACGGCCUGGGCUACACACGUGCUACAAUGGUCGGUACAGAGGGUUGCCAAGCCGCGAGGUGGAGCUAAUCUCACAAAACCGAUCGUAGUCCGGAUCGCAGUCUGCAACUCGACUGCGUGAAGUCGGAAUCGCUAGUAAUCGCGAAUCAGAAUGUCGCGGUGAAUACGUUCCUGGGCCUUGUACACACCGCCCGUCACACCAUGGGAGUGGGUUGCACCAGAAGUAGCUAGUCUAACCUUCGGGAGGACGGUUACCACGGUGUGAUUCAUGACUGGGGUGAAGUCGUAACAAGGUAACC